CUCAAAGCCCAAACUCAAAUUUAGCACGACUAAAGUGACUCCGUUGUUCAGGCAAACACCAUACACUGCAAGAGGCGUUUCCUUACUUCCCCAUCUUGCUGCUGCUGCCCCCAUUGUUGCUCUCUCUUCAGAAUGGCAAACACUAGUAGUACCGAAAUUGAUCAAAGAAGUGAAAGCUGUAGCAGGGAAGUGUUGUGUGUAGUGUGAAGAAAAGAAGAGAGGAGGAGGCGUUUCCUGGCAGACCUUCCCAUCUUAUUGUUGGUUUAUGUCUUUCUCCAGGUUGGUAUUUAUGUAACUUAUGCUGCUUUUUAUGGGUUUCUUUGGUUCAAGUGUUAUGUAUUCUUUCUUGGUUAUGCCUUCUUUGCAGCUACAAGCCCCUUGCAGUUUGUUAAGAAAGAAGCUAUUUUUCAUUACUCAAUCCCUUUGUAUAUCAGUAUAUUUGCUGCACCAGCACGAAUCAUCCAACUGCUUUGUCUGCCUUGAUUAACCGAGAUAUGAUUUUGGGUAAAAUGUACGUUUACUGCAGAUACAACUUACGAGCUCCUUUAAACAUAUAUGGCACAUGUGGACUUGUAGAUCGACAAUGAAAAUGCAAAUGUAGACACCCAGAUAUGUUAAUAUGCUCUAUGUUGAUGAUUCUUUUAUACCCAGUAGUAAUAGCUGAUAAGUGUCACUAGACAUAUCUUGCAUUCUUACCGUGUCUACGACCUGGAAACCUUGUCCUAGUAGUUGACAGGUUUUCUGAUUUAUGUAUUUUACGUAUCUAUUAGGAUUAUAUCAGUAUUGAAAAUAGUAUGUUUAACUGAACAGUAUAUGACUUUUUGGCAUUAAAAAAGAGAAAGAAAAAUGUUUCCUAGUUUCAAUAUUUAUUGAAGCAGCUCCUUUAUUAUUUGGGGAAGGUAAACAAUCAUAUAUCUGGAUACAGAAUUGCAUGGUAUGUAAUGGUGUCUGCCUAGCAGCUGCACGGUAAGGGCUGCUUCUCCAAUGAGCUAUAAUCUUGCAAUUGUUGGAGGACUUCUCAAACCACAAAGCUACCUCGGAGUAUGGGUAUUUUGUGACUCCUACUUCCUUGGAACACAUAGAAACAGGCAACAUUCUCUUGCCUGUUGUUUUCAAGUGUAUCACCGUUCAAGGGAGAGAUCGUGUGUGGCGUGGUAGACAAGAUUAUGAAACAGGGGGUUCUUAAGCUGUGGUCCCAUUAAAACGGUUUUUCUUGCGGCUACAAAGUUGGAAGAUUACAAUCACUUCCCUGGUGAGAAUCCAGUUUUCCAGAAUGACAAGGAGUCGAAGAUAGAGAAGAAUGUGCAGGUUGGUUUCAAGGUCCUUGGAACGUGGUAGAUUGAAAGGGAGAGGAUAUUUCAGAUCCUCUGAAGCUUGGAAGUUUCAUAUUACGGUUUUUGCAAGUAUGGAAUAAGUUUAUUUCAGUUUUGAAGCAUAGUUUGUCUUUUGUGUGACAACCUCAGAAUGCAAGGGGGGCACUGAGAAAACUCUUUUUCAUUCUACACUCUCUCUUUGUAUACCAUUUAUAACAAAAAACCAAUCAUAGCUUCUUUUAA